UACGUAGGGGGCGAGCGUUAUCCGGAUUUACUGGGUGUAAAGGGAGUGUAGGUGGUCAUGCAAGUCCGAUGUGAAAACCCGGGGCUUAACCCCGUGACUGCAUUGGAAACUGCGUGACUGGAGUGCAGGAGAGGUAAGUGGAAUUCCUAGUGUAGCGGUGAAAUGCGUAGAUAUUAGGAAGAACACCGGUGGCGAAGGCGGCUUACUGGACUGUAACUGACACUGAGGCUCGAAAGCGUGGGGAGCAAAC
rnacentral:rRNA from 1 species